UUCGACCUCAGUGUAGGAGCAAGCGGACGGGGACACAGCUCUGUCGGUUUGAAACAACACAUCUCCCUUGGCCAAUGGCAAAAACCACAAAGAGCAUUUGAAGAAGCACAUGAAAGGGAAAAGAGUGGCUGGUGCCGACAGGAGUCCUUGAAGGUGCGGGAGUGUUGCGGGCCCCCAAGACUCCAUCUGAAGGUCUUCGUGGAAUGGGUGGUUGCAACUGUGUUUCUAGCCAAACUGUCGCAUUCGGUCAAGCUUCCAGUAACGUUUUCGACAAAGCUACGAGCUGACCAGGGAACACAGCAACACAAGCUGCACAGAAUCAAACCAGGCCAGGGAGACUGUCAGCCGCCUCUCGAAAAUGAAUGAAAAUAUUUGAGGACACAGGUGCAGGGAAUGGGCCGGGAGCACGAUCCUUUUUAAUAAGCGUUCCUGGCUUCCUGCCCUGACACUUGGCCAGUUAAAAUCAAGCUUACUGACAAGCCAGAGUCGUGCCAGCUAAUCAGCAGUAAAUUAUCAAUUGUUCUAUUUCCAAAAUAGCAAGUAAACAGGAAAGACAGCGCAGCCUGAAGAAAUAAAAUCAGGUCGGAAAUCCAUUGUUUGCCCAAUUAUCUU